AUUGAACGCUGGCGGCAUGCCUUACACAUGCAAGUCGAACGGCAGCACGGACUUCGGUCUGGUGGCGAGUGGCGAACGGGUGAGUAAUGUAUCGGAACGUACCUUUCAGUGGGGGAUAACGUAGCGAAAGUUACGCUAAUACCGCAUAUUCUGUGAGCAGGAAAGCAGGGGAUCGCAAGACCUUGCGCUGAUUGAGCGGCCGAUAUCAGAUUAGCUAGUUGGUGGGGUAAAGGCCUACCAAGGCGACGAUCUGUAGCGGGUCUGAGAGGAUGAUCCGCCACACUGGAACUGAGACACGGUCCAGACUCCUACGGGAGGCAGCAGUGGGGAAUUUUGGACAAUGGGGGCAACCCUGAUCCAGCCAUGCCGCGUGAGUGAAGAAGGCC
rnacentral:rRNA from 1 species